UUUUUUAGCCCAAAUGAAUAUUUUGUAUAGACUAUGGUCAUCCCUUUGUGUACGUCAUUUUACCAGUGAUGGCCUGUAUACAGAGCCAAUUCCAAGAAUUUAAAUAGUAGAAGGUCUUCAAUAAGUCCAAAGUAUUAAUGGCCUGAAGAUAUCUUGAAUUCUAGUCACAUGUAAAUGUUAAGAAAGAUAGUCAACAAAGUUGCCUUGCUUUUGAUACCAAGAUGCCAUAUACAGGGAAUAUAAACUAAAUAAUUUCACUUAAAUUAGAGUAAGAACAUUUGAUUAAUAUGAUUCACCAAUUUUACAUUGCUCUUCUGUUCAUGUUUUUUUAUCAUUUACAGCACAACAACAAUAACAAAAACAUUUUCACACAUAUAAACAACUUUACUUAUUUUAACAUUUAUUUUAAAAACCUGCUUAAAAGACCACCUGUAUUUAGCAAAAACCUGUAUCAUAAGACCAUAAAUUUUAGAUUUCAUAUAGUUUGAACCUGUAUUAAAAGAUCCACCUGUCUUCAGAGACACCUUUUUGUUCUCCCUCAAGUAGUCUCUUAGAACACGUUUCACUGUAUAUAUUUAUACAUGUUUUGACUCCCAGACUAGAACCUUUUGAUAAAAUCAAGACUGUUGAUACUUUUAUGCACCAAGAUUUACAAACCAACUAGGUCACAUGAGAAUUCAUAUCGUGAACCUUCAGUUUACUAGAAUUUUUUUU
rnacentral:lncRNA from 1 species